rnacentral:tRNA from 1 species
CCUUCGAUAGCUCAGUUGGUAGAGCGGUGGACUGUAGACUGUAAAUAAUUGAUAUCCAUAGGUCGCUGGUUCAAAUCCGGCUCGAAGGA